rnacentral:rRNA from 1 species
ACCCGCUGAACUUAAGCAUAUCAAUAAGCGGAGGAAAAGAAACCAACAGGGAUUGCCCUAGUAACGGCGAGUGAAGCGGCAACAGCCCAAAUUUGAAAUCUGGCGUCUUUGGCGUCCGAGUUGUAAUUUGCAGAGGGCGCUUUGGCAUUGGCAGCGGUCCAAGUUCCUUGGAACAGGACGUCACAGAGGGUGAGAAUCCCGUACGUGGUCGCUAGCCUUUACCGUGUAAAGCCCCUUCGACGAGUCGAGUUGUUUGGGAAUGCAGCUCUAAAUGGGAGGUAAAUUUCUUCUAAAGCUAAAUACUGGCCAGAGACCGAUAGCGCACAAGUAGAGUGAUCGAAAGAUGAAAAGCACUUUGGAAAGAGAGUUAAAAAGCACGUGAAAUUGUUGAAAGGGAAGCGCUUGCAGCCAGACUUGCCUGUAGUUGCUCAUCCGGGUUUUUACCCGGUGCACUCUUCUAUAGGCAGGCCAGCAUCAGUUUGGGCGGUUGGAUAAAGGUCUCUGUCAUGUACCUCUCUUCGGGGAGAACUUAUAGGGGAGACGACAUGCAACCAGCCCGGACUGAGGUCCGCGCAUCUGCUAGGAUGCUGGCGUAAUGGCUGU